rnacentral:rRNA from 1 species
UUAAGCGACUAAGCGUACACGGUGGAUGCCCUGGCAGUCAGAGGCGAUGAAGGACGUGCUAAUCUGCGAUAAGCGUCGGUAAGGUGAUAUGAACCGUUAUAACCGGCGAUUUCCGAAUGGGGAAACCCAGUGUGUUUCGACACACUAUCAUUAACUGAAUCCAUAGGUUAAUGAGGCGAACCGGGGGAACUGAAACAUCUAAGUACCCCGAGGAAAAGAAAUCAACCGAGAUUCCCCCAGUAGCGGCGAGCGAACGGGGAGCAGCCCAGAGCCUGAAUCAGUGUGUGUGUUAGUGGAAGCGUCUGGAAAGGCGCGCGAUACAGGGUGACAGCCCCGUACACAAAAAUGCACAUGCUGUGAGCUCGAUGAGUAGGGCGGGACACGUGGUAUCCUGUCUGAAUAUGGGGGGACCAUCCUCCAAGGCUAAAUACUCCUGACUGACCGAUAGUGAACCAGUACCGUGAGGGAAAGGCGAAAAGAACCCCGGCGAGGGGAGUGAAAAAGAACCUGAAACCGUGUACGUACAAGCAGUGGGAGCACGCUUAGGCGUGUGACUGCGUACCUUUUGUAUAAUGGGUCAGCGACUUAUAUUCUGUAGCAAGGUUAACCGAAUAGGGGAGCCGAAGGGAAACCGAGUCUUAACUGGGCGUUAAGUUGCAGGGUAUAGACCCGAAACCCGGUGAUCUAGCCAUGGGCAGGUUGAAGGUUGGGUAACACUAACUGGAGGACCGAACCGACUAAUGUUGAAAAAUUAGCGGAUGACUUGUGGCUGGGGGUGAAAGGCCAAUCAAACCGGGAGAUAGCUGGUUCUCCCCGAAAGCUAUUUAGGUAGCGCCUCGUGAAUUCAUCUCCGGGGGUAGAGCACUGUUUCGGCAAGGGGGUCAUCCCGACUUACCAACCCGAUGCAAACUGCGAAUACCGGAGAAUGUUAUCACGGGAGACACACGGCGGGUGCUAACGUCCGUCGUGAAGAGGGAAACAACCCAGACCGCCAGCUAAGGUCCCAAAGUCAUGGUUAAGUGGGAAACGAUGUGGGAAGGCCCAGACAGCCAGGAUGUUGGCUUAGAAGCAGCCAUCAUUUAAAGAAAGCGUAAUAGCUCACUGGUCGAGUCGGGCCUGCGCGGAAGAUGUAACGGGGCUAAACCAUGCACCGAAGCUGCGGCAGCGACGCUGAUGCGUUGUUGGGUAGGGGAGCGUUCUGUAAGCCUGCGAAGGUGUGCUGUGAGGCAUGCUGGAGGUAUCAGAAGUGCGAAUGCUGACAUAAGUAACGAUAAAGCGGGUGAAAAGCCCGCUCGCCGGAAGACCAAGGGUUCCUGUCCAACGUUAAUCGGGGCAGGGUGAGUCGACCCCUAAGGCGAGGCCGAAAGGCGUAGUCGAUGGGAAACAGGUUAAUAUUCCUGUACUUGGUGUUACUGCGAAGGGGGACGGAGAAGGCUAUGUUGGCCGGGCGACGGUUGUCCCGGUUUAAGCGUGUAGGCUGGUUUUCCAGGCAAAUCCGGAAAAUCAAGGCUGAGGCGUGAUGACGAGGCACUACGGUGCUGAAGCAACAAAUGCCCUGCUUCCAGGAAAAGCCUCUAAGCAUCAGGUAACAUCAAAUCGUACCCCAAACCGACACAGGUGGUCAGGUAGAGAAUACCAAGGCGCUUGAGAGAACUCGGGUGAAGGAACUAGGCAAAAUGGUGCCGUAACUUCGGGAGAAGGCACGCUGAUAUGUAGGUGAAGUCCCUUGCGGAUGGAGCUGAAAUCAGUCGAAGAUACCAGCUGGCUGCAACUGUUUAUUAAAAACACAGCACUGUGCAAACACGAAAGUGGACGUAUACGGUGUGACGCCUGCCCGGUGCCGGAAGGUUAAUUGAUGGGGUCAGCGCAAGCGAAGCUCUUGAUCGAAGCCCCGGUAAACGGCGGCCGUAACUAUAACGGUCCUAAGGUAGCGAAAUUCCUUGUCGGGUAAAGUUUCCGACCUGCACGAAUGGCGUAAUGAUGGCCAGGCUGUCUCCACCCGAGACUCAGUGAAAUUGAACUCGCUGUGAAGAUGCAGUGUACCCGCGGCAAGACGGAAAGACCCCGUGAACCUUUACUAUAGCUUGACACUGAACAUUGAGCCUUGAUGUGUAGGAUAGGUGGGAGGCUUUGAAGUGUGGACGCCAGUCUGCAUGGAGCCGACCUUGAAAUACCACCCUUUAAUGUUUGAUGUUCUAACGUGGACCCGUGAUCCGGGUUGCGGACAGUGUCUGGUGGGUAGUUUGACUGGGGCGGUCUCCUCCUAAAGAGUAACGGAGGAGCACGAAGGUUGGCUAAUCCUGGUCGGACAUCAGGAGGUUUAGUGCAAUGGCAUAAGCCAGCUUGACUGCGAGCGUGACGGCGCGAGCAGGUGCGAAAGCAGGUCAUAGUGAUCCGGUGGUUCUGAAUGGAAGGGCCAUCGCUCAACGGAUAAAAGGUACUCCGGGGAUAACAGGCUGAUACCGCCCAAGAGUUCAUAUCGACGGCGGUGUUUGGCACCUCGAUGUCGGCUCAUCACAUCCUGGGGCUGAAGUAGGUCCCAAGGGUAUGGCUGUUCGCCAUUUAAAGUGGUACGCGAGCUGGGUUUAGAACGUCGUGAGACAGUUCGGUCCCUAUCUGCCGUGGGCGCUGGAGAACUGAGGGGGGCUGCUCCUAGUACGAGAGGACCGGAGUGGACGCAUCACUGGUGUUCGGGUUGUCAUGCCAAUGGCACUGCCCGGUAGCUAAAUGCGGAAGAGAUAAGUGCUGAAAGCAUCUAAGCACGAAACUUGCCCCGAGAUGAGUUCUCCCUGACCCUUUAAGGGUCCUGAAGGAACGUUUGAAGACGACGACGUUGAUAGGCCGGGUGUGUAAGCGCAGCGAUGCGUUGAGCUAACCGGUACUAAUGAACCGUGAGGCUUAACCUU